rnacentral:misc_RNA from 1 species
GAUGAAGAACGUAGCAAAAUGCGAUAAGUAAUGUGAAUUGCAGAAUUCAGGGAAUCAUCGAAGCUUUGAACGCACAUUGCGCCCGCUGGUAUUCCGGCGGGCAUGCCUGUUCGAGCGUCAUUUCAACCCUCAAGCCCCCGGGUUUGGUGUUGGGGAUCGGCUCUGCCCUUCUGGGCGGUGCCGCCCCCGAAAUACAUUGGCGGUCUCGCUGCAGCCUCCAUUGCGUAGUAGCUAACACCUCGCAACUGGAACGCGGCGCGGCCAUGCCGUAAAACCCCAACUUCUGAAUGUUGACCUCGGAUCAGGUAGGAAUACCCGCUGAACUUAAGCAUAUCAAUAAGCGGAGGA